GACAGAGGUGCCAAGCGUUAGGCGGAAUCACUGGGCUUAAAGCGUGUGUAGGCGGAUUUUUAAGUACCUUGUGAAAUCCCACAGCUCAACUGUGGAACUGCUCGGUAUACUGGGAAUCUUGAGCCACUUAGGGGCUGUCGGAACAAACGGUGGAGCGGUGAAAUGCGUAGAUAUCGUUUGGAACGCCAAAGGUGAAAACAGACAGCUGGGAGUGUGCUGACGCUGAGACACGAAAGCCAGGGGAGCGAACGGGAUUAGAUACCCCGGUAGUCCUGGCCCUAAACGAUGUCGACUAGAUCGUGGUAGCUCUGACGUUAUCACGGUCGAAGCAAAAGUGCUAAGUCGACCGCCUGGGAAGUACGGUCGCAAGGCUAAA
rnacentral:rRNA from 1 species